AUCUGUAUGCCCUUUUUCACAAAAGAAUAUCUUCCUCUCAAAGCUCUCCCUAGUUUCUCCCGUCGCCCUAGCCCUGCAGAGAAAUCAGAGAGAUCGAGUUAUUCGUAAAAGGGCUUCACUGUAAGGGGUCAUCCCCCUUCGAGAUUGUGUUUCUAUUUGACAUAUAAGAUUGUUUCAAAUUUGGGUUUUCUUAAAGGGGUCGUCUGUGGUUCUAGACUUCUAGCAUCGAAGAUUGGUUAAUGGUGAAGGACGAGGUGGAGGGGGGAUUGCUUUGGUUGAAUUUGUGACGGAUUUUUGAAGGUUUAGGGUUUUUCUUUUUCUGCGUAAGAAGCAGUUUUUGGAUUAAUGGCAGAUCGCAGUGCUGCAGUUGCCCGACCCAUAUGGAUGAAACAGGCAGAAGAAGCGAAGCUGAAGAAUGAGGCUGAGAAAGCCGCGGCUGCGAAAGCUGCAUUCGAGGCCACGUUUAAGGAUGUCGAAAAAAAAUCCGAGAAGGAGCAAGUUUCUUCGGAUAGCGAGGCGGAAGAAGCGGAGGAUUUGUCCAACAAACCCAUUGGGCCGGUUGAUCCUAGCAAGUGCAUGGCUGCUGGUGCAGGGAUUGCCGGGGGUGCAGCCUGUGCCCCUUCGUCUUUCGUGGUUGUUACAAAGGACUCUGAUGGGCGGAAGGUUCCACAUGGGGGUGCUCAGUUUAAAGUCAAGAUCUCUCCUGGUGUUGGUGUUGGAGGAACAGAUCAGGAAGGGAUGGUGAAGGAUCAAGGUGAUGGGACUUACACGGUUACUUAUGUUGUUCCCAAGAGAGGUAAUUACAUGGUGAACGUUGAAUGCAAUGGGAAACCCAUCAUGGGCAGUCCGUUUCCAGUGUUCUUCAGUGCUGGCACUACUGGAGGUGUACUGGGUAUGCCGCCGACCACUACAUAUCCUAAUCUUGUUAACCAGACUAUGCCCAACAUGCCAAAUUAUGCAGGAUCUGUUUCAGGGGCAUUUCCAGGACUACUUGGAAUGAUUCCAGGCAUUCUUCCUGGCCCCACUGGAGGGGCAAUUUUGCCUGGAAUUGGAACAUCACUUGGGGAAGUUUGCCAGGAAUACUUGAAUGGAAGUUGUAGGAAAUCUGUUUGUAAUCACAACCACCCAGAUCGCAGCUUGUUGAUGAGUGCAUUGGCUCCAAUAACAACCAUGGGAACCUUAAGUCAAGUACCUAUGGCACCUUCUGCUGCUGCAAUGGCAGCUGCUCAGGCAAUUGUUGCUGCACAGGCUGUUCAAGCCCAUGCUGCUCAGGUGCAGGCACAAGCCCAAUCCGCAAAAGAUUCAUCUGGGUCACCUGACAAAGCAGGAAAGACUGAUGCCCUGAAAAAAACACUUCAAGUUAGUAAUCUCAGUCCACUUCUUACUGUGGAUCAGCUGAAGCAGCUUUUUAGCUAUUGUGGCACUGUUGUUGAGUGUAGCAUCACUGAUUCAAAGCACUUUGCUUACAUAGAAUAUUCAAAGCCAGAAGAAGCAACUGCUGCUCUUGCAUUAAACAAUAUGGAUGUUGGGGGUCGCCCAUUGAAUGUUGAGAUGGCAAAAUCACUUCCACCAAAACCAGCAAUCUUAAAUUCUCCAUUGAAUCCAUCUUCUCUGCCAAUGGUAAUGCAGCAAGCAGUUGCCAUGCAACAGAUGCAGUUUCAACAAGCUCUCCUUAUGCAACAAACAAUAACUUCACAACAGGCUGCAAACCGAGCAGCAACGAUGAAGUCUGCAACAGAGCUUGCAUCAGCUAGAGCUGCAGAGAUUAGUCGAAAGUUGAAAGCUGAUGGGCUUGUAACUGAAGAGAAGGACACGAAGAGAAAGUCCAGGUCACCUUCCAUGCCUCGCCCAAGAUCAAAGUCCAGAUCAAGAUCUCCCAUCAAGUACCGGCAUAGCCAUAGGUCUCGCUCUCCCUCACCUCGAGCCCAUCACUCAAGAAGUCGGAGAUCCAGAUCACCAUAUAGAUUCCGGCAUCACACUGGUUAUAGCAGCGAGCGGCGGUCACAUAGAGAUGUUAGGGAUAGCGGCUACAGAUCUGGAAAACGGGAAAGGGAGAGAUCCCAUGAUCGUUAUUCUUCUGUUUCAAGGAGACAUAAGAGUAGGAGUGUGAGUCCUCGUAUAAGAAAAUCAUCUCGAGCUGGUUCUGCCUCACCAAAACGCCAUCAAGGAAGUUUAAGCCCUAGAACGAGGAAAUCUUCUCGAGCCACUUCAAGAUCUCCAAGGCAUAAUCACAGAGGAAGUAGAUCCUCUCCAAGGCACAACAAUGACCACAUUUCAAGCCAAAGAAGACGCUCAAGAUCUAGAUCUGCUGAAGAAGGUAAACUUAAUGUAGAUGAUAGGAAAGAUAGAAACAGAUCUGAUAAAUUGAAGCUUGAUGGCAGAAAGACUGACAGAACAGAUGAUGUUAUCAAGGAACCAGAUCUUGAUUUAAAGGAUUCAACAGAAAUUAAAAAAGAUAGGGCAUCAAAUGGUUUGGCACAAACUCAUAAGAAUUUGUUGUCUGAGGAUGGGGCACUAAAAGAGGGAAGUAAGCAUAGAAGGUCUAGACUGGAUGACAAAGACUAUGAGAAACCUGACCCCGAGAGUCAAGACCUUGUUGAGAAUGAUGUGGAUUUAAGAGAAGAUAAAAGGAAUUCUCCUGUGCCAAAAUUACAGAAAAGUCCAACAUCUGUGGAUGAUAGGACCCAUUCAGGUAGCAAGGAUAUGAACAAAUAUGAAAAGUCCUCUUUAGAGCAUAAAAAAAAUGAGAAGACCAGCACCUCCAGGAAGGAACGAGAUUCUUCUGACAAAGACAGGAGUUGUUCUCGCACUGACAUUUCCAGCAGGCAUGGAAAAUCAACCUCAGAACAUAGAAGGCAUGAAAAGGAUUCAGUCAGAAGGGAGAGAGAUUUUCUUGAUGAUGAUUUCACAUUCUCAAGGGAAGACAGGAAGGCCGUGGAUUCUUCAAAGUCCAAGUACCACAAGAGUAGUUCGAAGCAUCGAGAGGAUAGUUCAUCUAGAAGUACAAAAGAUAGACAUUCUCUUGAUGAUGAUUCAACAUAUUCAAGGGAAGAUAGGAGGGCCAUUGAUUAUUCAACGUCCAAGUACCAUAAGAGUAGUUCAAGGCAUCGAGAAGAUAGUUCCAGUAGAAGUACAAAAGAUCGACACAGAUCAGAGAGAUUAAAGAUGGAGGACAAGGAAGCCAAACCAGAAAAAUCCACUGAUGUCAGCAAGGUUAUUAUGUCUACUGAUAUUGAUCCAUCCAAUCUGAAAGAGGGUAAUAUAGAUUCCCCGAAGUUGAAAUCUUACACCUGUUCAUCCCCCCAUGAGGAUCCAACUAAUGGGGAACCAAAAGACCUGAAGAAUGCAGAACUAGAAGGAGCUGAGGUUGUUGCUGACAAAGAAGCUUAUAUCAAUAAUGAUGUUGAGGGAUUGGGGGAAUUGACAGGCUUUGAAGUUGAUGAGAAGCCUGAUAAAUAUUCUAACAAUCCUAUGGAGUUGCAGGAAGAGGGAAUGAUUCCAUGUUCUUUGGAGAAGGAUACUUGGAAGAAAAACUCAUCAGCUCUGGAUGAUGAACCUUCUUCUGAUGCAGAAAAUCUAGGCAAAGACAACCAGUCAAUAGUGGAGAAAGUAUCUGGAAAAAUCAAGCAACAGUAUGACAUUGAGGACUCAAAAUGUAUGAAAUAUGAUGAUUUUAAAACUUCACCUGGCUCCAUGGAACAAGACUGUUACACUAAAGGAUCAGUUGAGGCUUUGAAGACUGUGUACAUGUCUGGGCCUAAGCCUGAGGAAGAAAUGUCAGUGUUGCCAAAUUAUGAGAAAUUGAAGGAUACAAGGAAAAGGAGAAGGCAUGAAACACCAGGAGAGUACAGAGAAAUUUAUGCAACUGGUUAUGUUAAACAAGAUAAUAAAGAUUUUUCUCAGCUGAUAAGCCAUAGCUAUGGGAAGUCUGAGGGUGCAGAAGAUCAAAAUGGGCCUAAAAGGUCAUUUCCUGGGGAUAGAGAUAUUGAUAAAACUGGAUUGAGUAAGGAUCAAGAUGACAUUAUUUAUGGUUUAGCAGAUAUGAAGGAAGAUGAAAAGGUUGCAGUUUCUCCACCAUCUCACAGGAGUUCAGCUUCACCUGAGGGAGCUAAGAGUUAUGGAAUCCCCAGGACUAUAGAAGCUAAAUACCAGCAUAAAAAAUCUAAACCRGACCAUGGAUMUUUAGAUUCAGGAAUCUCUUCUUCAGGAGAGGAUGAAGACUGGAAUCAUUAAAUACUUGUGGUGGUGUGAUGAAGUUCAUUGGGAUUGUGCUAGGAAUUUUCCAAGUUUCAGUUCUGAAAGAUAAUUUUAUGCUUCUAGCAGUGAAGACAUGCUGUGGAAAAUGAGCCAUAAACUUUCUUUUGGUUCUCAGGAUUUGCUCAGCCUUUCAACUAUCCAUGAAAGACACUUGUAUUUGUGUAUUUUUUGCAGGUUCAGUGGGGAGACAUUGGAGGAAGAGUUUCGGAGCAAAUCUUGGUCUGGUGAAAGUUUAUUCAAGGAGUCAGCUUUUCCCCACAUCCAGGAUCUAUCUGGCCAAGUCUGUAACAACCUUGUUUUACUGCUUAAUGUAUGGACUAUUAAUCUCGUCACUAGGGGCUUUCUGAUGUUAAUAGUUGCUGCAUGAAUGAUAUUCGGUGGAAAGAUAAUGGUGGUUGAUGUCUUAGAAGGCGAACCUGAGCUGUAGGUUUGUUUUCCAGAAUGCUUGCAUGGUUACAUUGCAUGAUAAGGCUUCUCUUCUUUCUAUAUUUGUUUUAUUUCUUGUCUGUACUGGUUGGUUGAAGAGUGUCUUGCUUUGUGGUCAUCCAAUCUCUGAGAUUUCUGGUUAUAGGCUCCAUGUUAUUGUCUUUAAUGGCUGGUGGUGCCUGUCAUAUCCAAAACCUGUGCAGGAUUUACAUGGUGGUUUUCUGUAGGAGCUUUGUCAGAGCAAGUUUGCAGAAUUCAUCUUCUCUAUUUGUGAUAGAGGUAAGAUUCUGGUAUGGUCGAAAUGAAGCCAGACACUGUUGGGCUGAACUUAGAACUACAACCUCAUCAUGUUAGCUUUGAGAAGAGUGGCCGUUAUACUUUUAAUCUAUGGGGAAUUGCGACUGGUGAUUUUUAACAGCAACAAAUUCAUGAUAUUAGGAUGAGCUGUGGAUAGGGAGCUGAAGUCCUUGGGUUGAGUCCUCAUCUUAUUACUUUCUGCUGGAAAUGGAUGCAAACGGAUAUUGUUCUUGUUCUUUGUUUUACUGCCUACUAUCUUUGAUCUUUCCAAGUGAAGGAAAUAGGUGGCGAACCAUUGAAAAUUUGCAUUGGCUUCUCACGGGGUUGAAUUUAUUGUGCAUUGAAUUGUGUUUGUCAUGAGAAGCGGCUCGGAUUCAUUUAUGUUUAUGCCUUAAGAAAUGAAAUUGAAUUUUCCA